UGGUAGUUAGCCCAGUUGGUUAGAGUUUGGUGCUGAUAACACCAAGACUGUGAGUUCAAUCCCCAUACUGUUCA